ACAUUGUCCUGUGUUCUAACACACUAAAAAAUCUCUAGUACAACUUGUUCAAAAGUAAAGAUUUUAUUACUUUUUUGGAUGAUUAGAUCAUGAGGUGUAUAUCUCUUUCUGCAUCCCUUUCUUUGUCUGUUCAUUGAUUUUUUUGUUAUUAAAAAAAAAAGACAAAAAAGGAUAGUUUACGAACGAAAAAAAUAAGAGUUUAGAAAUCACUUUCCGCUAAAUGUAUGUAAUAGGAUGCACUGUAAAACAUACAGAUACAGCAAAAUGUGUUACUCUGCUAAGAUAAGAUGGUCAAGCUAUCAAGAUGAAGAUAGCAUAGAAUCAGAUCUUCCCAAACAAUAAUGCAGGGUGCAUAAACCAGAUGGCUUAAUUAGUUUCUUAAUUGAUUAUUAAUUAUUCCAUUAAAAAGUGCAGUGUGAAAAAUGAGUUAGAUUUUAGGCCAUUGACCAAACAAACCAGAUUAAAGAUGUUAUUAAGCUCAUGUCCCAAGGUGCAAUGAAGAACAAUGCAAUGAGAUAAGAUAAGCCCCCCCCCCCCAAGCAAAAGUUGGCAAUGUCAGUUGCUAGCUCAGCUCAACUGGAAUAAAUCAUCUGCUUAAACUAACGCAAUUAUUCAACUUAAUCGAAUACAACAGAGUUAAAAAAAAAACCCAAGU
rnacentral:lncRNA from 1 species